UGAACGGGGUCGCGCGCACGCGCGAGCGAGCGACAGGCGAGUGAGGGAGCGCGGAGCGGCCGGGUGUGAGCGUGUGGGAGUGAGUGUGUGGGAGUGGGGGGGGAGGGAGAGGUAGGCCGACUGCGAGGCCGUGAGAAAGUGGGCGAGUGGGCGCGGACCCGCGGCCUGGCUGCGGGAGCCGGCGGCGAGGAGAAAGGAGGCGGCUCCCGGCAUCCCCCUCCCCCUCCUCAGCGGACUUCCAGCGGACCCGCGGCCCGCGCUUCCUCCGAGGCCGCGGCGGGGCAGGCCGGGCAGUGCGAAGGAGCAGUGGCCGGCCAGAUAAAAGUUUACGUUCAAGAAGAAAUACUCCAGAAAAGGAAGAACAAGCAGAUCAAGAUGUGCAGCUCAGUAGCUGCUAAGUUGUGGUUUUUGACAGAUCGUCGCAUCAGGGAAGACUAUCCCCAAAAAGAGAUCUUACGAGCUUUGAAGGCCAAAUGUUGUGAAGAGGAAUUGGACUUUCGGGCCGUAGUGAUGGAUGAAGUGGUACUGACAAUUGAGCAAGGAAAUCUGGGUCUGCGGAUCAAUGGAGAACCAGUCUCUGCCUACCCUCAAGUGGUAGUAGUGAGAGUUCCAACCCCUUGGGUGCAAAGUGAUAGUGAUAUCACUGUUUUGCGCCAUUUAGAAAAGAUGGGAUGCCGAUUGAUGAACCGACCUCAAGCCAUCCUGAACUGUGUAAAUAAAUUCUGGACAUUUCAAGAGUUAGCUGGCCACGGUGUUCCUCUGCCAGACACUUUUUCUUAUGGUGGCCAUGAAAAUUUUGCUAAAAUGAUUGAUGAAGCAGAAGUCUUGGAAUUCCCAAUGGUAGUGAAGAAUACACGGGGUCAUAGAGGCAAAGCUGUUUUUUUGGCACGAGAUAAACACCAUUUGGCAGACUUAAGCCAUCUUAUUCGCCAUGAAGCACCAUACCUGUUCCAGAAAUACAUAAAAGAGUCUCAUGGAAAGGAUGUACGUGUCAUUGUUGUGGGAGGCCGUGUAGUUGGCACCAUGUUACGUUGUUCAACAGAUGGAAGGAUGCAAAGCAACUGCUCACUAGGUGGUGUGGGGAUGAUGUGCUCAUUGAGUGAACAAGGGAAGCAGCUAGCUAUCCAGGUGUCUAAUAUCUUGGGGAUGGAUGUGUGUGGCAUUGAUCUAUUGAUGAAAGACGACGGCUCCUUCUGUGUCUGCGAGGCCAAUGCAAAUGUAGGUUUCAUCGCCUUUGAUAAGGCUUGUAAUCUAGAUGUAGCUGGUAUCAUAGCAGACUAUGCCGCCUCCCUUCUGCCCUCUGGCCGGCUCACCCGGCGCAUGUCCCUGCUCUCUGUGGUGUCCACAGCCAGUGAGACUAGUGAGCCGGAGCUGGGUCCCCCUGCCAGUACUGCUGUCGACAACAUGAGCGCAAGUUCCAGCUCUGUCGACAGCGACCCUGAAAGCACGGAGCGAGAGCUGCUCACCAAGCUCCCAGGGGGGCUGUUCAACAUGAACCAGCUGUUAGCCAAUGAAAUCAAACUCCUGGUGGAGUGACUCCACCAGUAAUAAUUAACCAAGAAAACCCUUGUAAAACUUGCUCUCCCCUUUCCUCCCCUCCUUUCCCCCUUUAACCAACUUGCAAUGCUGUUCAUGGAAAAUGCUCAGGAUGAGAGAAAAUUAGUAAGAUUGGUUAGAAGAAGGGAAAAUAGAUGAGACUUCUGCUGAUAAUAUGUUACUGACUCUUACAGAUUCUACAGAGAGGCAGAAUAGUUGAUAUACAGAAAAAUGGCAGGAUCUCACAGUUAACCUUUCAAUUGUAUGCUUUUCAGGCCAUGGGGAACAUGAAAGUUUUGCUUUUCAUGGCCCCUUGCUUUUGUUUUUAUACAGAAUUGUUUUGAUUCAAGUGUCUGGUAGUGUGAUUUCACAUGGUAUUGGGAGAUUUGUGAAGAAGAAAACAUCUGUUUAAACUACAGGAAUUUUUUCUUAAAAUAUAUGUCUGAAAAUUCUGCCAUUUCUGUUAGCAAGUUUAGCUCAGUUGUUCAUGAACUCUUAGAGGCUCUUACUGGGAUUUCUCAUUUUCAUAUUUGUCCUUAUUUUUUCCCCUUAAUUUGGGUGGGAGGACAACAUGACUAUAACCCAAUAAAGAUUUUUACUACAAAAUUGGCAUGCUUGCAUGAUGAAAAGGAAAUGAACAGUAUUGCAAUGUCUGGUCCAAAAGUAACAUUUUACUCAAUGUAGAUAAAGUUACACUAGUUUAAAAUUUGUGCAUUGACUUGUGUUUGUUAGUGUUUUAGUCUUUUUUGGAAGAUAUAUGCUCUGUUAAUGUUGCAUUUUUUUUUUUAAUACAUGCUAGCCUAACAUUCCCUGCUCUAUGACUGCAUCUUUAACAAUGGCCAAAGUGAAGAAAAUGCUACUUUUUGUUAAUAAGACACUGACUCGAAACAUACACAUUUAAAAGUCUUUUUUUUUUCCUUCUUUCUUUUGAUGAGUUGGACAUUAAGACAGGGAAGUAUAUUUGAGAGGCAGAUCAAGGUCCUUAAGUUCUUCAGUAUAAAGCUAAAGAGAUGUCUUAAGCCAGUGUUAUGUAUUUGCAUUUUUCACAUUUUAGAAGGGAAGUCUUAUAUGUAUGUGUGUGCACGUAUGCAUGUAUAUGUGUUUUAUUCUUUGAUUACACCAAACAAAAAGAAUAGAUUCUAAAGAAUGGAGCAUGAUAGGAAACACAGUUUUUUACUUUACAAAGCAGAUGAAUUGUUUUCAUGCCUUAGACUCCACUAGUGUAGAGAUGCUCACCUAAAGACAUUAGAAAGUUGGUGUUCCUUAGGCCUUUUUGUGUGUAUGUAUGUUGUUUUUUUUUCUUCGUUUCAAGAUUGUCUGGUGUAUGGUUAGUCACAGUUACAUGCUUUUCUUCAAUGCUAUGGCUAUGCAUUUUCUCCUUUUACACUUAACAUUUGGAGGGGAGGGUGGAUUGGGUGUUUUUGUUUGGGGAUUUAUUUACCUUAUUGAGUCUCAUAGCCCUACUCUUAAGCCUUCAAUACUGACAACUCUAUAUUCCUUUACUUUAUGAAUUUAUUAAAGCCCCAAACGGCAUAUAAUAUGAUCCUCUAAAACAAUCCCAGUGAUGGGUUUGGAAGGUAUCUUAAGAAGUGGAGAGGCUACAGAGCUCAGCAUAAUUUUUUAAGCAAAAUGUUCCAUCUCCCUACAAAUCCUCUGAAGCUUUACCCAAGCGCUUUCUUGCCUCUCCAGUGCUGUUUUCCUUCAGAUGGACCUUAACAUAAUUUCUUGGACACUACUUAGAGACUUCGAGGCAAUAAUAAAAUAUCAGUAUUAACCAGCUCUAACAGAGGUUUGAUCAUGCUUAAUUGUACAGUUUUCCCCCAUUUUAAAAAGGAAUGUAAUAAAACUUGUUUUUUCCAUAGUAUUAAAUAAUAUUAAAAUUGAGUGAAAGGUUGAUUGUUGACAAAUAGAAUAGUACCUCUAAUCUGUGAAUUGUCUCAUUUCACCUCUGAAAAAGGGGAACGUAAAAGGAGCUUCCAGCUUAUCUCUAGGAUAUUCUAAUUGCAUCUACAAAAAAAUUGGAUUUGCACAGGUUUAUUGGGGGUAUUCAUAAGUACCUCUGACUCAUUAACAUAAAGAAAUACUUGGUACUUUAGCUGAAUGAUCAUAUGUUGGUGGGUGCAUACUAUUUGCCAUAAAGAAAUGAAUGAAGAACUAUAAGUUCAUGUAGAGAUCAUCUGGUUGUCACAUAUUAUGAUACACGUGCUUUAAACAGUUACAUGUCACAUAUAUAAGUUUAUGCAUUUAAAAAAAGUAGAGUAGUUGAAAAACUCACUUUGUGUUGUUGGGAUAAAAGAACAGGAAAAAUAUAGUUGACCAUUUUAUAACUUUUACAAAAUUAAGCAAGUGUAUUAUAAGAAAUAUCUGAAAUUAUUUCACUGAUAAUUUCAUUCACACAAUAUUGAUAUGUAGCUCUUUACCAACCAACUUCUGUGUUUUACACUCACAUAUUAGAAUGAAUGGCAGAAAUAGUUAUCAUAGACUUUAAAAAAACAAGUAUCUUCUUGAAGUCCCUCAAAUUAAGAUAAAGAAUAAGAACAAAUCAUUCUGGAAGAACGCAAAGGAAAAUAGCUUUAGAUAUUUGAGUAACAGUUGAAUUUAUUCUCGUAAUUGUUUCAAUAGCUUUUGUAUAAUCUUCAUCGCUAUUAUGAGAUAUAAAAUGUAUUUAUCAAAUCUGUAAUCAUUAUGCCAAAAAAUCUGAAUUACUGUAAAAUUUUGUAUAUUGUUAAAAUUGUAAUUUUUAAUUGUAUUUUAAUAAUUCUUUCUGGUAUUGUUUUUAUGUCACUAUGAUGAAAAUUGGACUUUUAAUAUAUUUCUUUACAUUUGAACUAUGCCACUUAAACUUUUUAAUAAGUUUUUUCUUUUUUGGUGCCUAUAAUUGGUCAUUUCUACUGGCUUUUCUCCAAUGAACUUUGAAACCUUUGUUUGUAUGUAUCAAUAAGAAACUACCCUGGAACGUUUAAAAAAAUCCCACCAGAGACUUGCUUUCGUCAAGCGCUUUUAACAGACUUUGAGAAAAAAACUACUGAAAGCAUUGAAAAAAGCCAUUGACUCUCAGAAUCGUCUCUCCUUUUUCUCAAGGAUGAAAACAUUGGAACAAAUUCUCUUCAUUCAGUGACCCCCCAGUUUGGGGUUUGGGGGGUUUAGAGACAUUGUGAAAUCAAAUCUUGUGUUCUAUUUUUCUCCUGGCUCGCUUUUUUUGAGAAGGUUUAUGGGCUAUUUGGCUGGUGAGACACGAUCCCCUCCUAAGAAAAUCCUUUUCAGGAGCCAAAAUAUACAAAUACAAACAAA